rnacentral:misc_RNA from 1 species
CAGCGCUCAGCCGACGGCGCGCCGAUCAGCUGACUGGCGGCCGGCUCCAGCCGCCGCGCAGGGACGGCGGCCGGCGAGUCGGCCGGCGGCGGCGGCGGUACAGCCGGAGGUAUCACCGCCAGCCAACGUCAGCCCGGAGGCUGAGUUCGACAUCAUGACGACCGAAGGUUUUCCAAGUACCCGCCUCACCCCGCCCCAGCCCGGCCCCGCCCCGGCCCGCUGCGGCAGCCCGGUGUGUGCGACAUGCAGCUCGGCUCGGGCGACGCGCUGCCGACGCUCAGUCGUGCUCCGAGCCCCGUCGCCGCCGGUCGUUGCAUGCUGCUGGGGCCCUCCUGCUGGUACAGAGACCGGACAGCGGCGGCGGCGGGUCGACUGGCCAACCGAGACAUCACAUUCUAACUGCAACUACAAGAUGCUGCUGCCAACCCUCCUCCUCGGGUGUUUCCUGUUGGUGACGGAUGUAACCGGCCACAAAUAUUCGACCAGCAAAUGUCCGAAUCCCAAUCCCGUGAAGGACUUCGACGAGUCUCAGAUCCUGGGAAAGUGGCGCGUGGAGUACGCCGUGAAGACGACCAGCACGUGCUUCGACAUGGACUUCCGCAAGGAGGGCAGCCAGCUCAUGGUGUACGAGACCAAGGAGCCGGCGGCGCCCGAGAAUCUCAGUCUGGAUGUCAAGUACGGCUCGGUGGGCACCCUGGCCUCCACGGCCCAGGCUGGCUACUACCAGGCCUCCUUCUCCACCAGUGUGAUUUCCGGCCGGUUCGUGGUGCUGGACACCGACUACAAGACCUACAUGGUGGUGUUCCACUGUAUGCAGAUGUCCAUCCUCGGCAGCAGGAGGGCCGUCUACGUCCUCUCCAGAGACGGCGCCAAGAUCACCGACGAACGGCUCAAGCAGGUGCGCGGCCGGCUGCCCGAGCUGGACGUGGAGGCCGGCCUGCUGGCCAAGGUGUCCCACGAGCAGUGCACCACCGCCGAGCAGGCCGACGUCGACCUCACCGGCUCCGUCAACGUCAAGGACGUGCUGAAGGCCGCCAAGAAGGUCGUCACCGUCGGCGGCGGCAUCCUGGAGCUGGUUCAGGUGUUCGGCGCGCUGGGCUGAGCUGAGCUGAGGGCGUUACACGCUGGGCUGAGGGCGCUACACGAUGGGCUGAGCGCGUCAAACGCUGCGCUGUGGGCGUUACACGCUGGGCUGAGGGCGUUGCACGCUGGACUUGGGGCGUUACACGCUGGGCUGAACGCUUCAGACUCGGGGGUGAGUGCGCCCGGCUAAUUUAAGGUGCCGAGUGACCAGUGUUCGGUACUCUGUAUGUUGCCCCCUUGCGAAGAGGAUGGUGAAGCACGGGUGUUUUUUAUGUAUAGGUAUCUGUUAACUCAAUGAGUUCCAGAAGCAAAAUUGAACGGGGGUGUAUUAUCGUUUCAAAAUGAAAACGGAGUGGAAAGCAAUAUGAUCGACUUUCAGGCUGACCAGCUUAUGAUUUAUCAGUCCCUACUUUGUAGAAAAAAAUAGAUGUGAACAAAAUAUAAAUCCCAUUCCACUUUAUUGAAAGGUAACGCUCAUCAAUCGUGAUGAAUGCUCCAUAUUUAUGUGAAUCGUAGCUUUAUUGGGUCAACCUCCCAAAAAUUGUAUGUGUUUUAACAUUGCUUUAAGCCACCAGUCGCUACUUUUAAGACAGACUGUACAUUAUUUGUUGUGUAGGAACUAGGAACGAAGCGUUGGAACGAAUGCUAAGUCGUCGUUGUUGAAGCAUGUUAUUUUGUUUGUGACUGGGAUUGCGCCGAUUGCGUGUUGUGUCUCAUUCCUAGUGACUGUUAGCAAGAUAUCGCACAAGAACGCGAUCCAGCGCGAUCUUUUCGCGUCGCGAUCACUCAGUAGGCAUAUAGUGAUCGCUGCUCGGUGCUUUUGGACGUGCUGUGUAGUUUGUACGGAGCGAAUAGUGAAUACGAUUCGUGGUGAGAGCUGCAAAUAUCGAACAUUGCACAACGCGUUUUACCUACUUAUUACGAGUACCUACAUUAUACACGCUAGUCACCGUCAACGUCAAUGUCUGAACCAAUCGCCCAUUUCGCGUCAUUUUUAUCGCUUAUAGAUUCACAAAUAAACACCCACAAAACUUA